ACCAGUGUGACAUAGUGGUUUAAGUGUUGGACUAUGACUCUGGAGAUCAGGGUUCAAUUCCCUGCUAGGCCA
rnacentral:tRNA from 1 species